rnacentral:rRNA from 1 species
GAUGAACGCUGGCGGCGUGCCUAAUACAUGCAAGUCGAGCGAACAGAUAAGGAGCUUUUUCCUUUGACGUUAGCGGCUGACGGGUGAGUAACACAUGGGUAACCUACCUAUAAGACUGGAAUAACUCCGGGAAACCGGGGCCAAUGCCGGAUAACAUUUAGAACCGCAUGGUUCUAAAGUGAAAGAUGGUUUUGCUAUCACUUAUAGAUGGACCCGCGCCGUAUUAGCUAGUUGGUAAGGUAACGGCUUACCAAGGCAACGAUACGUAGCCGACCUGAGAGGGUGAUCGGCCACACUGGAACUGAGACACGGUCCAGACUCCUACGGGAGGCAGCAGUAGGGAAUCUUGCGCAAUGGGCGAAAGCCUGACGGAGCAACGCCGCGUGAGUGAUGAAGGUCUUCGGAUCGUAAAACUCUGUUAUUAGGGAAGAACAAAAGUGUAAGUAUCUGUGCACGUCUUGACGGUACCUAAUCAGAAAGCCACGGCUAACUACGUG